CCAGACUCCUACGGGAGGCAGCAGUAAGGGAUAUUGGUCAAUGGGGGAAACCCUGAACCAGCAACGCCGCGUGAGGGAAGACGGUUUUCGGAUUGUAAACCUCUGUCCUCUGUGAAGAUGAUGACGGUAGCAGAGGAGGAAGCUCCGGCUAACUACGUGCCAGCAGCCGCGGUAAUACGUAGGGGGCAAGCGUUAUCCGGAUUUACUGGGUGUAAAGGGAGCGUAGGCGGUGAUGCAAGUCAGAAGUGAAAGCCCGCAGCUCAACUGCGGGACUGCUUUUGAAACUGUAUGACUAGAUUGCAGGAGAGGUAAGUGGAAUUCCUAGUGUAGCGGUGAAAUGCGUAGAUAUUAGGAGGAACACCAGUGGCGAAGGCGGCUUACUGGACUGUGAAUGACGCUGAGGCUCGAAAGCGUGGGGAGCAAACAGGAUUAGAUACCCCGGUACA
rnacentral:rRNA from 1 species